rnacentral:rRNA from 1 species
ACGCUGGCGGUAGGCUUAACACAUGCAAGUCGUGCGAGAAAGUAUCUUCGGAUAUGAGUAGAGCGGCGGACGGGUGAGUAACGCGUAGGAAUCUACCUAGUAGAAGGGGAUAGCCCGAGGAAACUCGGAUUAAUACCGUAUACCUCCUUCGGGAGAAAGAAGGCCUCUCAUUGAAGCUUUCGCUACUAGAUGAGCCUGCGUAAGAUUAGCUUGUUGGUGAGGUAAAGGCUCACCAAGGCAACGAUCUUUAGCGGGUCUGAGAGGACGAUCCGCCACAUUGGGACUGAGACACGGCCCAGACUCCUACGGGAGGCAGCAGUGGGGAAUAUUGGACAAUGGGCGCAAGCCUGAUCCAGCCAUACCGCGUGUGUGAAGAAGGCCCUAGGGUUGUAAAGCACUUUAAGUUGGGAAGAAAAGUUAUUGGCUAAUACCCAAUGACCGUGACAUUACCUUCAGAAUAAGGACCGGCUAAUUCCGUGCCAGCAGCCGCGGUAAUACGGAAGGUCCAAGCGUUAAUCGGAAUUACUGGGCGUAAAGCGCGCGUAGGUGGUUUAUUAAGUUGGAUGUGAAAUCCCCGGGCUCAACCUGGGAACUGCAUCCAAAACUGAUUCACUAGAGUACGAUAGAGGGAGGUAGAAUUCACAGUGUAGCGGUGGAAUGCGUAGAUAUUGUGAAGAAUACCAAUGGCGAAGGCAGCCUCCUGGAUCUGUACUGACACUGAGGUGCGAAAGCGUGGGUAGCGAACAGGAUUAGAUACCCUGGUAGUCCACGCCGUAAACGAUGUCAACUAGCUGUUGGGGAACUAUGUUCUUCAGUGGCGCAGCUAACGUAGUAAGUUGACCGCCUGGGG